UCUACGGAGAGUUUGAUCCUGGCUCAGGACGAACGCUGGCGGCGUGCUUAACACAUGCAAGUCGAACGAUGAAGCACCAGCUUGCUGGUGUGGAUUAGUGGCGAACGGGUGAGUAACACGUGAGUAACCUGCCCCUCACUCCCGGAUAAGCAAGGGAAACUGGGCCUAAUACUAGAGA
rnacentral:rRNA from 1 species